AGCGCCGGUCAUCUUCCUCCUUUCUCCCAAGUCCGACUUCUCUGUGCCCUUCUUCCUCUCUGCCGUGUCUUGGCACAGCGCCGAUCGCCUCUCCCUCCGCCCGGAGCAGCGCUGCCGCCGGCCUUCCUCAGCCCUAGAGCUUUCCCUCCGAUCGUCGAGCAGAGCUGUGCCCUAGCCUCAGCCGCGACACCCAUCUCCUCGGCGCUACCAAUCUGAUUUGUUGUUCAUUGUGCCCUGGUUUUCAUUGCUGAUCCGAGAUUGGGGUUUCCUCAAUUCCAGUCAUCUCAUUACUGAUUGGUUCUAUUGCCAUUACAGAACGGCUGAAGAAGAAUUGAGGAUAUUGAUUCGAGACGGUGUCUUGACGGGGGAUCUGUUUUGGAUACGAUCCUUUUCGAUUGGAGGCGGG